rnacentral:rRNA from 1 species
UACGUAGGGUGCGAGCGUUAAUCGGAAUUACUGGGCGUAAAGGGUGCGCAGGCGGCGUCGCAAGUCAGGCGUGAAAUCCCCGGGCUUAACCUGGGAACUGCACUUGAAACUACGAUGCUGGAGUAUGGCAGAGGGAGGUGGAAUUCCACGUGUAGCGGUGAAAUGCGUAGAGAUGUAGAGGAACACCGAUGGCGAAGGCAGCCUCCUGGGCCAAUACUGACGCUCAUGCACGAAAAGCGUGGGGGAGCAAACAGG